CCGCCGCUUCAUUCACUACGGAUCGUCCGGCACGUACCUGCCGGUGAAGGAGAAACAC
rfam:Microbacterium sp. LCT-H2 scaffold3, whole genome shotgun sequence.